rnacentral:ncRNA from 1 species
CAAAGAUUUGGUCCUAACCUUACUGUUAUUUUUCGCUAAAAUUACACAUGCAAGCAUCUACGCACCAGUGAGCACGCCCAAACAGUCAACAAGACAUGCCGGAGCAGGUAUCAGGCACACCAAGAAAGCCCAAAACACCAAGCCAUGCCACACCCACAAGGGUCAUCAGCAGUGACAAAUCUUAAGCUAUAAGCGAAAGCUUGACUUAGCUACAGCAAACAGAGCUGGUCAAUCCUGUGCCAGCCACCGCGGUUAAACAGGAAGCUCAAAUUAACAGCCAAACGGCGUAAAAUGUGGCUAAAUUUAAAUCAACAAAAUUUAAGGCAAACCCAACACCUAAUCGUUAAAAACAGGUCAAAAUUACCACAAUAUGAAAAUAACCUUAAUUACUUAGAUACAUUUGAACCCACGAUCGCUAAGACACAAACUGGGAUUAGAUACCCCACUAUGCUUAGCCCUAAACCUAGGCACUUACAAAACAAAAAUGCCCGCCAGAGAAUUACGAGCAAAAAGCUUAAAACUCUAAGGACUUGGCGGUACCUCAAACCCCCCUAGAGGAGCCUGUUCUAUAAUCGAUAAUCCACGAUUCACCUCACCAUCCUUUGCCUAAUACAGCCUAUAUACCGCCGUCACAGCUUACCCUAUGAAGACAUAAAAGUAAGCCCAACAGCUACAUCCAGCUAAAAAGUCAGGUCAAGGUGUAGCUUACUAGGAUGGAAGAAAUGGGCUACAUUUUCUUACCAAAGAAAUACCAACGGAUAUGAACUUUGAAACAAGUCUUAACAAAGCCGGAUUUAGCAGUAAAUUGAAAGCAGAGAGUUCAAUUUAAGAUAGGCUCUGAGGUAUGUACACACCGCCCGUCACCCUCCUCAACAAACAACCAACAAACGUAAAUAACACCCCAAAAAAUAAUAAGAUGAGGCAAGUCGUAACAAGGUAAGUGUACCGGAAGGUGUACUUGGAACCC